rnacentral:rRNA from 1 species
GGCGAAAAGAACCCCGGGAGGGGAGUGAAAUAGAUCCUGAAACCGUGUGCAUACAAACAGUAGGAGCCUCCUUGUGGGGUGACUGCGUACCUUUUGUAUAAUGGGUCAGCGACUUACAUUCAGUGGCGAGGUUAACCGAAUAGGGAAGCCGUAGAGAAAUCGAGUCCGAACAGGGCGAUAGUCGCUGGGUGUAGACCCGAAACCAAGUGAUCUACUCAUGGCCAGGAUGAAGGUGCGGUAACACGCACUGGAGGU